CAGGAGGAACACCGGUGGCGAAGGCGCUUUCUGGACCGUAACUGACGCUGAGGUACGAAAGCGUGGGGAGCAAACAGGAUUAGAUACCUGGUAGUCCACGCCGUAAACGAUGAGUAUUAGGUGUCGGGUCCGCAGGGAUUCGGUGCGCAGUUAACGCAAUAAAUACUCCGCCUGGGGAGUACGCACGCAAGUGUAAAACUCAAAGGAUUGACGGGGACCCGCACAAGCAGCGGAGCAUGUGGUUUAAUUCGAAGCAACGCGAAGAACUUACCAGGGCUUGACAUCCUCCCGACAGACCGGGUAAUGCCGGUCCUUCUGCGGACGGGGAGACAGGUGGUGCAUGGUUGUCGUCAGCUCGUGUCGUGAGAUGUUGGGUUAAGUCCCGCACGAGCGCAACCCUUGUCGUCAGUUACUAACAUUAAGUUGAGGACUCUGACGAGACUGCCGGGAGAACUCGGAGGAAGGUGGGGAUGACGUCAAAUCAUCAUGCCCCUUAUGUUCUGGGCACACACGUGCUACAAUGGCCGGUACAGAGAGCAGCGAGACCGCGAGGUGGAGCAAAACUGAAAAACCGGUCCCAGUUCGGACUGCAGGCUGAAACCCGCCUGCACGAAGUUGGAGUUGCUGUAAUCGCGGAUCAGAAUGCCGCGGUGAAUGCGUUCCCGGGUCUUGCACACACCGCCCGU
rnacentral:rRNA from 1 species